UACGUAGGGUGCAAGCGUUGUCCGGAAUUAUUGGGCGUAAAGAGCUCGUAGGCGGUGUGUCGCGUCGGCCGUGAAACCUGCAGCUUAACUGUGGGCUUGCGGUCGAUACGGGCAUCACUGGAGUUCGGCAGGGGAGACUGGAAUUCCUGGUGUAGCGGUGAAAUGCGCAGAUAUCAGGAGGAACACCGGUGGCGAAGGCGGGUCUCUGGGCCGAUACUGACGCUGAGGAGCGAAAGCGUGGGAGCGAACAGG
rnacentral:rRNA from 1 species